rnacentral:rRNA from 1 species
GACAGAGGGUGCAAACGUUGUUCGGAAUUACUGGGCGUAAAGCGCGUGUAGGCGGCUAAGUAAGUCGGGCGUGAAAUCCCACGGCUCAACCGUGGAAGUGCACUCGAAACUGCAUAGCUAGAGUCCUGGAGAGGAAGGUGGAAUGCUUGGUGUAGAGGUGAAAUUCGUAGAUAUCAAGCGGAACACCGGUGGCGAAGGCGGCCUUCUGGACAGUGACUGACGCUGAGACGCGAAGGCGUGGGGAGCGAACGGG